GUAACAGCUCCAUCUCCCCAGAGCGGAGCGCAUUUGUUCGCCACAAAACCAAGCGCCCUCAGGGCGUCCAGUGUUGACUCAGAACAACUAAGCUGAUCGCACGGUCUUGUACCGGCGACGUGUCUUUCAAGUGUCUGCCUUAUCAACUUUCGAUGGUAGUGUACCUGACUACCAUGGUGAUGACGGGUAACGGAGGAUAAGGGUUCGACUCCGGAGAAGGGGCCUGAGAAAUGGCCACUACGUCUAAGGAUGGCAGCAGGCGCGCAAAUUACCCACUCUCAACAUGAGGAGGUAGUGACGAGAAAUAACGAGACCGAUCUCAUACGAGGCCGGUCAUCGGAAUGGGUACAAUUUAAACCCUUUAACGAGUAUCUAUGAGAGGGCAAGUCUGGUGCCAGCAGCCGCGGUAAUUCCAGCUCUCAAAAUGCAUAGAAUUAUUGCUGCGGUUAAAAAGCUCGUAGUUGGAUCUGUGCUAGCCGUCCGGUGCACUCUCUGAGUGUUACUGGUUCGGCUGGCUUUUCUGCCGGUCUCUCCCCGGCGUUGGCCUUUACCGGUCGGCGUCGGUGGGCUGGCGAGUUUACUUUGAACAAAUCAGAGUGCUUCAAACAGGCGUUUCGCUUGAAUGUUCGUGCAUGGAAUAAUAGAAGAGGAUUUCGGUCCGAUUUUAUUGGUUUUGCUGACCGAGAUAAUGGUUAACAGAGACAAACGGGGCCAUUCGUAUUGCUACGUGAGAGGUGAAAUUCUUGGACCGUAGCAAGACGGACUACAGCGAAAGCAUUUGGCAAGAAUGUCUUCAUUAAUCAAGAACGAAAGUCAGAGGUUCGAAGGCGAUCAGAUACCGCCCUAGUUCUGACCGUAAACGAUGCCAACUAGCGAUCCGCCGGCGGAUUUAUUCGCCCUGGUGGGGAGCUUCCCGGAAACGAAAGUCUUCCGGUUCCGGGGGAAGUAUGGUUGCAAAGCUGAAACUUAAAGGAAUUGACGGAAGGGCCCCCCAGGAAUGGAACCUGGC
rnacentral:rRNA from 1 species